CCUACGGGUGGCAGCAGUCGAGAAUCAUUCACAAUGGGGAAAACCCUGAUGGUGCGACGCCGCGUGGGGGAAUGAAGGUCUUCGGAUUGUAAACCCCUGUCAUGUGGGAGCAAAUUAAAAAGAUAGUACCACAAGAGGAAGAGACGGCUAAAUCUGUGCCAGCAGCCGCGGUAAUACAGAGGUCUCAAGCGUUGUUCGGAAUCACUGGGCGUAAAGCGUGCGUAGGCUGUUUCGUAAGUCGUGGGUGAAAGGCGCGGGCUCAACCCGCGGACGGCACAUAAUACUGCGAGACUAGAGUAAGGGAGGGGGGAGCGGAAUUCUCGGUGUAGCAGUGAAAUGCGUAGAUAUCGAGAGGAACACUCGUGGCGAAGGCGGGUUCCUGGACAUUAACUGACGCUGAGGCACGAAGGCCAGGGGAGCGAAAGGGAUUAGAUACCCUUGUAGUC
rnacentral:rRNA from 1 species